UACGGAGGGAGCUAGCGUUGUUCGGAAUUACUGGGCGUAAAGCGCACGUAGGCGGCUUUUUAAGUCAGGGGUGAAAGCCCGGAGCUCAACUCCGGAAUUGCCUUUGAGACUGGAUCGCUUGAACGUCGGAGAGGUGAGUGGAAUUCCGAGUGUAGAGGUGAAAUGCGUAGAUAUCGGAAGGAACACCUGUGGCGAAAGCGGCUCACUGGACCAUUACUGACGCUGAUGCACGAAAGCUAGGGGAGCAAACAGG
rnacentral:rRNA from 1 species